rnacentral:misc_RNA from 1 species
GAAAUGCGAUAAGUAAUGUGAAUUGCAGAAUUCAGUGAAUCAUCGAAUCUUUGAACGCACAUUGCGCCCGCCAGCACUCUGGCGGGCAUGCCUGUUCGAGCGUCAUUGCUGCCCUUCAAGCCCGGCUUGUGUGUUGGGUCGUCGUCCCCUCCGGGGGACGGGCCCGAAAGGCAGCGGCGGCACCGCGUCCGGUCCUCGAGCGUAUGGGGCUUUGUCACCCGCUCGAUAAGGACCGGCCGGGCGCCAGCCGGCGUCUCCAACCUUUUUUACUCAGGUUGACCUCGGAUCAGGUAGGGAUACCCGCUGAACUUAAGC